rnacentral:rRNA from 3 species
ACCUUCGGGCCUCAUGCCAUCAGAUGUGCCCAGAUGGGAUUAGCUAGUAGGUGGGGUAACGGCUCACCUAGGCGACGAUCCCUAGCUGGUCUGAGAGGAUGACCAGCCACACUGGAACUGAGACACGGUCCAGACUCCUACGGGAGGCAGCAGUGGGGAAUAUUGCACAAUGGGCGCAAGCCUGAUGCAGCCAUGCCGCGUGUGUGAAGAAGGCCUUCGGGUUGUAAAGCA